rnacentral:rRNA from 1 species
AAAGAUUAAGCCAUGCAUGUCUAAGUAUAAACGAUUUAAUCGUGAAACCGCGAAUGGCUCAUUAUAACAGCUAUAAUUUACUUGAUCUUGACGCUAUCCUACUUGGAUAACUGUGGUAAUUCUAGAGCUAAUACAUGCAUUAAAGCUCUGGCCUCACGGGAAGAGUGCACUUAUUAGAACAAAACCAAGCGGCUUCGGCUGUUUUCGGUUGACUCAUAGUAACUGAGCUGAUCGCACGGUCUUGCACCGGCGACGUGUCUUUCAAGUAUCUGCCGUAUCAACUUUCGAUGGUAGUGUAUCUGACUACCAUGGUGAUCACGCGUAACGGAGAAUAAGGGUUCGGCUCCGGAGAGUUCGCCUGAGAAAUCGCGAACACAUCUAAGGAAGGCAGCAGGCGCGAAAAUUACCCACUCUCAGCACGAGGAGGUAGUGACGAAAAAUAACGAGACCGUUCUCUUAUGAGGCCGGUCAUCGGAAUGGGUACAAUUUAAACCCUUUAACGAGUAUCUAUGAGAGGGCAAGUCUGGUGCCAGCAGCCGCGGUAAUUCCAGCUCUCAAGUGCAUAGAAUUAUUGCUGCGGUUAAAAGCUCGUAGUUGGAUCUGUGCCAUAGGACGUGGUCCACCUUCUGGGUGCGUACUAUGUUCCUAGGCUUUUUGCUGGUUUUCCCGUCGUAGCCUUCAUUUGGUGCGGCGGGUGGCUGGCGAGUUUACUUUGAGAAAAUCAGAGUGCUCCACACAGGCGUAUCGCUUGAAUGAUUGUGCAUGGAAAAUAUAGAAAGGAAUUUCGGUCCUCUUUAUUGGGUUUGUGGACUGAGAAUAUGGUUAACAGGGAACCAACGGGGCAUUCGUAUCGCUGCGUGAGAGGUGAAAAUUCUGGAAACGUACGAGACGCCCUACUGCGAAAGCAUUUGCCAAGAAUG